rnacentral:lncRNA from 1 species
UUCCACCUUGCUAUCCUCCUGGCCAUUCUUAACAUUACUUUCUAAAUUAAUAAAUUUCUCUUUUUGUUUUUAGUUUUGGAGUCUUGCAUUCUUGCAAAAGGUAUCCUUCCGGAACCCCAGGGGUACACAUCUGAACCCCAUAACAGACUUAUAUGUAGUGACAUAAAGUGAAGUGAGCAGAACCAUGAGAACUUUAUAUACAGUAACCAACAAUAAUAGACAACAUGCUAACAUAUAUACAAAGGAAGCUUCAUACCGGAUAAAUAGGAUGCAACUUCCCGGCCCGCGAGAGGUUACAAGGAGAGAAGAUAGAAACAGGUAUAAACCUUAAAAUUCCUUAGACUUAUAAAUGUUGGAAAUUUCACCAUUGGGAAAUUUUAUACUUGGAAAAUUUCUUACUGAUAGUCUAUUGGAAUGUGAACCCCAUUGGCAUGGGAGGUUCCUCCUCCUACCUUCUUAAGAUUACUUUAGGACAGAAACCUUUUGCUGAACAAUGGAAAGGACUUUGACCUAUGCUUAAGCAUAGAACAGGAAUUUCUUUGAGUCAUGAUUGAUUUUAGAAUUGAUACAAUGGAGAUACUUGGAAUCAAUCUCCACCCUACUCAGUCCUAACAGGAUUGAGUAAGGGCUGCAGCCUAGAUCAAAAUUUAAUUAUUCCAAUCUCUACCCUACUCAGGUUAACAGGAUUUAGGAAGGGCUGUAGCAAAGGAUCAAAGAUUUAAUUAUUUGAAAAUAUGACCUUCAACAGACAUGUGCAAAGCCAGAGACCUCUGGGCGGUCGUGGGUUAAGCUAGAGCCUCCAUUGGCACAGGGAAAUUGAUGGACAGUGAUUGGUAGAUGUGAGAACUGAGGGGAGGCAACUUGGAUGGUUUCCUUAAAGAGAGAGCUGUCUGAAGACUCAGGGUGGUGGUUGAGGAGUUUGUCUGAGUGGUUGGAGUGUGCUCUGAGAAGCUUGCUCUGAAGGAAGCUGAAGGUGGGGGCCUCUGAGACUGUUUCUCCAUUUUGGUCACGGGUGUAAUAGGGACUGAUCUCUUUUCUUUGCCCCAGCUAUCUAAGGGCUUGGGCCUUUUGGCCCAGCCUAAACAGAAGGGGUAUUUAAGCCCUAUUCCCUUCUCUCCCUUUUCUCUCUAUCUCUAAUUCCUUUCUUCCUCCUGUUGUAAUUAAACUCCAUAAAAGAUUGACUGCUGACUUGAGUUUUCAUUUAGGAAUUACAUAGCUGAAUUCCUUGGUGACCUUAAAUUAAUAUAUAUCAGUCUUUUAAAGUGAUUUCCUUGUCACAAUUACUAUAAGAGGUGGAAGUGAUGAGGAAUUGCAUUCUAGGCAUAAGAAUG